rnacentral:rRNA from 1 species
UACGAAGGGGGCUAGCGUUGAUCGGAAUUACUGGGCGUAAAGGGCGCGUAGGCGGCUAGUUUAGUCAGAGGUCAAAGCCCAGGGCUCAACCUUGGAACUGCCUUUGAGACUGGCUAUCUUGAGUACGGGAGAGGUGUGUGGAACUCCGAGUGUAGAGGUGAAAUUCGUAGAUAUUCGGAAGAACACCAGUGGCGAAGGCGACACACUGGCCCGGUACUGACGCUGAGGCGCGAAAGCGUGGGGAGCAAACAGG